rnacentral:rRNA from 1 species
AUUGAACGCUGGCGGCAGGCUUAACACAUGCAAGUCGAGCGGGGGAAGGUAGCUUGCUACCGGACCUAGCGGCGGACGGGUGAGUAAUGCUUAGGAAUCUGCCUAUUAGUGGGGGACAACAUCUCGAAAGGGAUGCUAAUACCGCAUACGUCCUACGAGAGAAAGCAGGGGAUCUUCGGACCUUGCGCUAAUAGAUGAGCCUAAGUCGGAUUAGCUAGUUGGUGGGGUGAAGGCCUACCAAGGCGACGAUCUGUAGCGGGUCUGAGAGGAUGAUCCGCCACACUGGGACUGAGACACGGCCCAGACUCCUACGGGAGGCAGCAGUGGGGAAUAUUGGACAAUGGGGGGAACCCUGAUCCAGCCAUACCGCGUGUGUGAAGAAGGCCUUAUGGUUGUAAAGCACUUUAAGCGAGGAGGAGGCUACUCUAGUUAAUACCUAGGGAUAGUGGACGUUACUCGCAGAAUAAGCACCGGCUAACUCUGUGCCAGCCGCCGCAGUAA